GCUACAACCUAAAAAUCACAAGUUGUGUUAAAGAAAAUAGUGGUGUGAAAACAAAUUAGCGUUAAUGCGUUAUUAUCGCGUUAACUUUGGCAGCCCUAAUAUGAAUAUAUGCAGACAAAAAAUGUGUAACAGAACCACGAUACAGUAAGUGGUCUUUUUCACUUUAUAUACUACGUAACUAGCUCUGAAGUUAGACUUCUGUCGCUACGCAACACGUGACAAACGUCACAUGACAACCGCUUUCUUCCGGUUGACAGGCAGGUCUAUAACACGGUUUGCCCAUGAGACUGGUGCUGACCUGCUAAACAUCAGCCUGUUAGUAUGAUCAUUGUGAGCAUGUUAGCAUGCUGACUUUAGCAUUUAGCUUAGGGUACUGCCAUACAGCCUCACUGAGUUGCUAGCAUGGCUGUAGACUCUUGUCUUGUUAACUCACAUCAGUAUUAAUUGACCGUCUGCUGGAAUUCAAUAAAAAUUACCAGUAAAAGCCUAUGAAAUGAUAUUUCAUAAUAAUGAGCUGAGUGUUUAUUAAGUGAGUCAGAUAUUUAAUUUCACAAUUUUAUGGUUAUAUGUUUUGUCUUUAUUUAUUUAUAUGAUUAUUUCACAAUAUCGUAUUUAUAUUGAACACAUUGGGUCUCCAUAAAAUCAAGCUAUAUUUAAAAAAGAAAAAAAUGGAAUGAAAAGAAAGUCUCUUCUGGAAACAGGCACAACACAUCAUGUCUUCCUACUUUCCUUCAUUACCACUGGAUGUAAAGUCUGUACAGUACAUGUUUGAUGCUGAGCUGUGAACCACUGUGUGUAUUAUACUUAGAGAAAUGGCUUCACAUUGCAGUUUGUUUUUGUAAUGACAUUGUAACUACUAUUACAUUAUUUGUAAUGCAAGAUAAAAUGACACAGGGCUCUGUUUUCUUUUCUUUUUUUUGUCUCUACUCCAAGUUGCCACACUUGCGUCAUGGAACUAAUUGGACUGCUGAAAGAACUGUUAAGUUGUGUUUUGUGUAUUUAUUUACAUAAUUAGGAACAAUUGUACAGUAAUAUGAAAAGGAUUCUACAUCUCUGGAGUUAAUGGAUAUUUUACAAGUUCAUUUUUUGUGAUAUUUGCUGAUUUUGUUUCUCUUCUGCUAACUGAUAAAGAACCAUUAAUUGCUGAAUUGUUGAAUUGAGAAUUUUAUUUAUGCUUUAUGUUAAAGGCUAACUUAGGUAUUUUUUCAACCUGGACCAUAUUUUCCCAUGUUUUUUUUAAAUUGGUCCAACAUUUAGGGGUUAACGCUGUCACCGGCAACCUCUUAACAAGCUGCAAGGGCAAGUGAGCAGCGUCAAUGUAACGUUACGCUCACUAAAAGUGCACUUUGUCUGAUAACAUUAUGGAAAGGACCUUACAGAGAAAUAAAACGUUUUCUUUUCCCGUCUGUUUGUUAUUAUGUCCAAGUCCCGCUCAAGGAGAAGUCUCGUUGUGCAAUUUGAAUAUCCGUAUACUCUGGCUCAAAUAAAUAUGGGCGGCCAUCGCUCAUCUAAAAUCAUUUAGAUUUAUCAUUUAGAAAUUAUCUAAAUAUUCAACCUUGACAUUGAACAUAUUUUAGAUAACGCUAAGCUACGCUUUCUGUAUUUCAACACAACAAACUCUGCCCGGCUGGCACUCGCGUUUCCAACAUGGAUGUAUUCCACUAUUCCACCGUUGUCUUGCGGCAACACGUCACCUCGUGAGAUUUCAGAGCUGGACUUCCCCUUGAGCGAUAGUCAGUUAUAAUAAUAAUAAUAGGAGCCUAUCAUGGCAACAACGAGCACUUUUAGUGGACGCAAAUGACGGUGCUAGCUUGCCCCAAAGGGAUUACGUUGCAGCCUGCGAGCGGCUACCGUUACAUCACUCUGGUUUAAUACUGGACCAAUUUCAGAAAUUAUCAUGCCUAUUAGUCAGUAAGACACAAAAACAUGGGAAAAUAGGGUCCAGGUUGAAAAAUACCGAAGUUACCCUUUAACUAAUGGAUGGAUGUAUUUGUAUAUAAUUUAUUCAAAUUCAAUGGAAUGUUUUUAUGGAUUUUACAUUGUCAACAUCAAGUUUGUUGACUUCUAAAGUCACUUUUAAAUCAUGUUUACACACAUUAUGGAAACAAGUUGUGGGACAGCAGAUUAAAAGUUUUGGCUUUAAAUGGUCAACGGUGUGUUAAGAAAUAUUUGGUGACGUUUUUUUCCAGGACUCAGUAAAGCAAACACUAUCAGGUGCACCUUCAAGGAUAAGCGUCGUGACUUCACUUGUGACCUUCACUAACUGAUUAGCAGCCCAUUUAUUUCAUUUCCCAGCAUGCCAAAGUCAGCAGGUGCUACUUUAGGUCACUGACUUUACAUCAUCGCCUUGAAAAAAAAAAAUCAUCCUAUUACAUGCAAACCUCUAAUUUUCAGUCAUUGAUGUUCACCUUUUAAUUGCUGCUCAUAUUCACAAAAAAUAGUGCACGCCAAACUCAAAUCACAGGUUUGGGUUUGUUUCCAACAGCUUCUGGGAACUACUUGAACAAACACUGAUAGAUUGAGAUCUGAAUGCAGGCAUGCUGAUUAGUUUAUCGCAUGCAUGUACACGUCAGACUGAGAUGUGUUAACGUGAUGUGGGACUAUAAAGCCCAGAACUGUUCGGGACCUCCCAGUCGAAGACCAUCUCUCAUUCACCACAACCAGGAACGCGUCGUUCAUCACCAUGAAGUCAUCUCUUGUCCUCUGUGUUCUCCUCGGCAUCGUCUUCUCUGUCAGGGCUGCAUCAGUGCCUCCUACUGUAGAGGCUGUCACUAAUACAACCCGGCCAACCGUCACGGCUACAACCGUCCCAACUACAGUGACAGGGCUUUACAAUGACACUACUACCACACCGACCACUGUUAC